rnacentral:sRNA from 1 species
CUUCGCCCGCCGCCGGAACUGCGAGCUCUCAGCGGGAGCCGAGACGGUGCAGGGCCGGAGAAGCACCUUCACUCCCAGCCUGCGCCCCGAUGCUGCGCGUUCUGUGCCUCCUGCGCCCCUGGAGGCCCCUUCGGGCCCGCGGCUGCGCUUCCGACGGGGCGGCCGGGGGCUCAGAGAUCCAAGUGCGCGCCCUGGCGGGUCCGGACCAAGGGAUCACUGAGAUUCUGAUGAACAGACCUUCUGCCCGCAAUGCCUUGGGGAAUGUCUUCGUCAGUGAGGUAAGAAAGGGCGGGCGCCAGGGUGGGCUGGGGAUGGGCUGGCACUAUCUAACUGGGUGUCCUCUGUAGCUGCUGGAAACUCUGGCCCAGCUGCGGGAGGACCAGCAAGUGCGUGUCUUGCUCUUCAGAAGUGGAGUGAAGGGCGUGUUCUGUGCAGGUGCAGACCUGAAGGAGCGGGAACAGAUGAGUGAAGCAGAGGUGGGGGUUUUUGUCCAGCGACUCCGGGGCCUGAUGAAUGACAUCGCAGCCUUCCCUGCACCCACCAUUGCGGCUAUGGAUGGGUUUGCCUUGGGCGGAGGCCUAGAGCUUGCCCUGGCCUGUGACCUCCGAGUGGCAGGUACUGGGCCAGGACUGGGGGCAGGGGGUGGGGCUAGGGAGUCAGGAGUGAGUGAAACGGUGAGUCUGGGCAUUCUGCAGUCAGCCACUGUUCUUGGCUUCCAAUCAAAAGCAAAACUAAGGCAAGACAGAGCAGAGAGGGUGCUCAGGCAGAAGCUGCUUCCCCUCCUGGGACAGCCAUUAGCUGCUGUAGUAUCUGUGACCUGUCAGAACCUGCUUCCUUCAUUUUGGGAAUAUUUGACCCACCUCAGAGCAAUUGCUGUUAGGAGCCAAGGGGGUCAAAGAGCAAUGUCCAGUCUUCCCAUUCUGUCCAAGUCAGAUUUAUCCACCAUGUUUCGGAAAAAGGUGAGCCCCAGGGAUAGUUUGUCAAUGGCUGAGCUAAUCACAAAGGUGCCUGGGCAGGAAUACUGGCACCAGCCAAAUUUGCAUUACUUGUUCUGAGCAAUUGAGCUUUGUUUGAAGAAUGGGAGGGGAUAAAGAAGAUAACUGAUCAUUUUCUCAGGUGAUUGACCUGGUGAUUAGGAACAGCCUUCUUGGAUGCAGUUAGGCAAAGUCUGAAUGUCCUCUCUUCUCCCCCAACCACUCUCUCCUGCCACCCCAGGAGAGACAUAUAAAAAUGGGUAACUCCAGGCAUGAAAGUCACUUCUGUCUACACAAUGCAGGUCAAAGAGAAGGAACUGACCAGGUGUCCAGGCACCAAAAUACCAGGCUGGUCUAGCCCCAACUCUGCUUUUCACAUGCCCAUGUUCCUAACUCACAGGGUUUUGGGGAAGACUAAGACGGAGUGAAUGUAAAACCCACUCCCUUCUGCCCACGUUCACAUGGCCCAUGCUGAGGGAAUUCAGAAAAGGCGACAGACCCGGGGUGGGGUGCGUCAGUCAAGGCAAGUUUCUCGAAGGAAGGAAGCAGAACUCAGGAGGACAUGGACUGGAACAGUCAGGGCAAUUUCAGGCUGUGACAAAGCUGGAACGGACGACUGUAGCAGGAGCAGGAGUCACUGACAUUCUAGGCCAGGCCAGGGCUAAGCCAGAGAACCUAUUAAUAGUAAUCCACAAAUAGAUAUGGGGCACCUCCUAGGAACUCUCCUUGUUCCAAGCAUCGUACCUCGUGUGAUCCUUAGCGGCUCUCUGAAGCAGACAGAAGAGAGCCAGCCAUCUUUCUUCCACCUUUGAGGCUUGGGAAGGGUGAGACUUGCUGGUGACAUACAACUCCACCAAAGGGGCAUGGUGAAAUAAGGGCCUGGGCUCCUGACUUCUGGGCUAGGGCUCUUCCAAAGGCAGAGUCUGGAGAGGCCUGGCUGUGGCCAGACCAUGGGGCAAGUGGCUAGAGGGGAGAGUAGACAGCAGAGGCAGGUGUGGCCCCAGGGAUUAGCACUGGGGGACCGGAUGGGGGAGGGAGGCCUCACUUUGUUCUAUGUGAGCAGCUUCCUCGGCCAUCGUGGGACUGAUUGAGACCACGCGAGGGCUCCUCCCGGGGGCAGGAGGGACUCAGAGGCUGCCCCGUUGUCUGGGGGUGGCCCUGGCGAAAGAGCUCAUCUUCACGGGCCGACGACUGAGUGGAACAGAGGCCCACGCACUGGGGCUGGUGAAUCACGCUGUGGCCCAGAACGAGGAGGGGGACGCCGCCUACCAGCGGGCACGAGCACUGGCCCAGGAGAUCCUGCCCCAGGCCCCCAUUGCUGUGCGGCUGGGCAAAGUAGCCAUUGACCGAGGAAUAGAGAACAUUCCAACCCGGGACCGGCUAGAGGGCAUGGCAGCCUUCAGGGAGAAGCGGCCCCCCAAAUUUGUUGGCAAAUGACCCCCAUUUUAACCUUCAGCAUGGGAGAUGCAUGCCCUGAAGAGCAGGAUCCAGAAGGAAGAUUUGUGGCCGAAUUUACUUCAUCAUUUCACCUCUCCAGGCUUCCGUUUCUUCACAAGGAUGAUGAUGGAGAUAAAAUGACUGGCGUGAUGCCUGGAACCAAGGUGCUGAUCCUACCACCUACUGCUACCUUCCUUAGCUUCACCCUGGCUAGAAAUAAUCACGAGGGUUGGGUUUGCUUUGGAAAAUGCCGUCUCUCUACUUGAAUGAUAAAGAAUUAAAUUAGAUCUCUCUGA